GGUAGUGUGGCAUAGUGGUUUAGUGUUGCACUACAGUUCUGGAAGUCAGGGUUCAAUUCCCCACUCAGCCA